rnacentral:rRNA from 1 species
GUGGGGAAUAUUGGACAAUGGGCGCAAGCCUGAUCCAGCAAUGCCGCGUGGGUGAAGAAGGUCUUCGGAUCGUAAAGCCCUUUCGACAGGGACGAUGAUGACGGUACCUGUAGAAGAAGCCCCGGCUAACUUCGUGCCAGCAGCCGCGGUAAUACGAAGGGGGCUAGCGUUACUCGGAAUUACUGGGCGUAAAGGGCGCGUAGGCGGCUCUGUUAGUCAGGCGUGAAAUUCCUGGGCUUAACCUGGGGACUGCGCUUGAUACUGCAGGGCUUGAGGCCGAGAGAGGGUGGUGGAAUUCCCAGUGUAGAGGUGAAAUUCGUAGAUAUUGGGAAGAACACCGGUGGCGAAGGCGACCACCUGGCUCGGUUCUGACGCUGAGGCGCGACAGCGUGGGGAGCAAACAGGAUUAGAAACCCUGGUAGUCC